UACAGAGGUGCCGAGCGUUAGGCGGAAUCACUGGGCUUAAAGCGCGUGUAGGCGGGUCGCUAAGUGUCCGCGUGAAAUCCCACGGCUCAACCGUGGAACGGCCGGGCAUACUGACGACCUUGAGGUGCUCAGGGGCGAGCGGAACGAACGGUGGAGCGGUGAAAUGCGUAGAUAUCGUUCGGAACGCCGACGGUGAAAACAGCUCGCUGGGAGCAUCCUGACGCUGAGACGCGAAAGCCAGGGGAGCGAACGGG
rnacentral:rRNA from 1 species